UACGUAGGGUGCGAGCGUUGUCCGGAUUUAUUGGGCGUAAAGGGCUCGUAGGCGGCGUGUCGCGUCGGGAGUGAAAGCCCGUUGCUUAACGGCGGGUUGGCUUUCGGUACGGGCAUGCUGGAGUGCGGCAGGGGAGACUGGAAUUCCUGGUGUAGCGGUGGAAUGCGCAGAUAUCAGGAGGAACACCGAUUGCGAAGGCAGCUCGCUGGAACGUAACUGACGCUGAGACGCGAAAGCGUGGGGAGCAAACAGG
rnacentral:rRNA from 1 species